UACAGAGGGUGCAAGCGUUGUUCGGAAUUAUUGGGCGUAAAGCGCGCGCAGGCGGUCCGGUAAGUCUCCGGUGAAAUCGCCCGGCUCAACUGGGCGGGUGCCGGGGAGACUGGCGGACUUGAGGAGCCUAGAGGCCGGUGGAACUCCCGGUGUAGUGGUGAAAUGCGUAGAGAUCGGGAAGAACACCAGUGGCGAAGGCGGCCUUCUGGACCAAUACUGACGCUCAUGCACGAAAGCGUGGGGAGCAAACAGG
rnacentral:rRNA from 1 species